GCCCUGAUGAUGCAAUGGUUAGUGCUUGGCUGCUAACCAAAAGGUUGGUGGUUCGAAUCCACUUAGUGACU
rnacentral:tRNA from 1 species